rnacentral:lncRNA from 1 species
UGUGGCUUUUACCUGGUUAAAGGUUUUAUCGUAUCCACACGGAAACGGGAAAACCAACUACACUCUAACUUAACCAAGAUAGAUAGAUACUGUAAAUAGGAAAGAUGGUAGAACUGAAUAAGAACAAUAUUAAAGGUAAGAUAACAAUGGAUGAUAAUAUGGGAAUAGAGAGUAGAGCAAUCUAGUAUAUGGGCAAUGGUAGGAGAAUAGAGAGGAUAACUAUGGUUUCUCUACUUCAAAGGGGUAUGUCUAUGUCUAGGACGAACCACGUGAUAAGAAUACACCACAAAGGAUGCUUAUCCAUAGGCCGAUAAAUCCUACCAGUCCUACUAAUGGGAGGUGGACUACAGGGGACCAACAUAGCUGUCACCUACGCGGCCUACCACACGAUCCGGCUAGACAGGGGAUAUCCACAAGUAAUCUAGGUCUAAGCACAACGCUUACACAUAUACUACAACUCUCACCUAUAGCGUCCUAUAGAUUAAAGUACUCAAAAGAGUUGUGAACCAGAACAUACAUGGAUAGUAAUUGCAUAAUGAAAUAAGAAGUAGAUUACCAGAGUCAUCCCAUGAGCAAGAUUGAUUAGAGCUUGAUCACGGCGAAGUACAACAGGAGGAAGAACCGACAGGCCGGCCUCUCCUCCAAUCCUCCCUCGCUCUCCAUCUCGCUACUAUCUAGAUCUAAUCUAGUUUAGAUAAGAGAGGAGAGCUCUCAUCUCCAAACUCUAGCUUUUGCUCUAUCUAUGAAUAAUGAAUAGGGAUCAAGGGGGUCUCUCCUCCAGGGGCCAGGGGGCCUGCUUAUAUAGUCCCCUCAAGUGAAUCUGGGCCAUCGGAUCAAGCGGACAUUAAUCGCACGGUUUUCCUUGAUCCUUUAGGUCAGUGGAGCAUGAUUUGCGAAGUAGAACGUGAUUGGCCGAAACACCAGGGCGGGCGCCCAAGGGGGGAGGGUGGGCACCCUAUCCCCGAGCCCGCUCGGCUUCCCGUUCGUUCCCGUGGCUUUUGGAGUCUUCUAGAUGAUAGAAAAUUGCACGGCACGUUAAUAUCUCUAUGUAAACCCGACAUGUGGGCCUUUCCUCCAUAUUUCCUAAUAACCCCCUGCAGAAAUAGACAAACACCAAAACUCGUAGAAUUCUGUCAGAUAAAACCCUAAGUCUGGGUGUUGGUUGCAUUUGGUGAUUAAAUUUGGUAUGUAAGGACCGUCAACAUCCACCUGAGCGAAAAAAUGGACAAGUGUCCGACAGUAGAAUUUGGGGUAUUCGCUACCCACCUGAAAAAAAAGAAGAAAAAGAAGAAAAAAAGAUAGCCCAUGUUCUCCCAAAGCAAAGAUCAAAGAGGAGGAGAGAUAGCAAUAUGAGGAGCAAUGAGAAGUAAGUUUUAUCAUUACUUAUAUUUUCACCAUUACUAUCAUUUACUCCACCACACAUGCACAUCUUGAUUUAAUUACAUGUUAAGCUCCUUUGGAUCCAUGGCUCGAUUAGACAACAUAUGUAUGAGCUGUUUUUCACUCCUAUGAGCUCCACUUAAAUAUUCCCUUAGUUAUAGGUAAGUGACAUUUUGGUAAGGAUCCACAAAUACCAUAUAUAGAGAGAUUUGAGAGUAUCAUAGCUGGGAACUCUGAGUUUUAUUUUUGAAAACUUAUGCAAAACUCCAGAACAAAGGUGAAGUAUAAAUAGGAGGAAUAGUGCUUGACUUAAUUAUUUUGUCUUUCAAUUACUCAAGACUUAAGUGCAGGUACUAAGCUCCAUGACACUUCACUCUAACCUGGGAGAACUUUUAUAAAAGCAUGUGUGCCUGUUAGGAAAGAAAACAUCGAAGCAACUCUUGACCCAUCUGAGUUUAGCUGUU